AUACGUAGGGGGCGAGCGUUGUCCGGAAUGAUUGGGCGUAAAGGGCGCGUAGGCGGCCCGGUAAGUCUGGAGUGAAAGUCCUGCUUUUGAGGUGGGAAUUGCUUUGGAUACUGUCGGGCUUGAGUGCAGGAGAGGUAAGUGGAAUUCCCAGUGUAGCGGUGAAAUGCGUAGAGAUUGGGAGGAACACCAGUGGCGAAGGCGACUUACUGGACUGUAACUGACGCUGAGGCGCGAAAGUGUGGGGAGCAAACAGGAUUAGAUACCCUGGUAGUCCACACUGUAAACGAUGAAUGCUAGGUGUAGGGGGUAUCGACCCCUUCUGUGCCGCAGUUAACACAAUAAGCAUUCCGCCUGGGGAGUACGGCCGCAAGGUUGAAACUCAAAGGAAUUGACGGGG
rnacentral:rRNA from 1 species